UAUAGUGCCUGAAGUAUUUGCUCAUAAGCUCAGGGACUGAAGCAGAAGUAAACAGUCGGGCCAGUAUUAUAGGGACACCUGUGUUACAAAACUUUCUUACAUUGUGAAAGCAAUGAAUGAAGUUCAGCAGGACUCCUGUAAGAAUGCCGAUUCAUCCCACAUCGCGUUGGUCAAACAGGACUUCGACCUUAUCGCCUCCCUCUCUCCCUCACCCGCCCAGGUGAACGCCAAGAAGACAGAAAAGAAGAUCUGUCCUCCUCUCUGAAAUCCAAGUGCUCAAAGCAGGGCUGAUGGGGAGCAGGUGAUCAAUAAACACUGUUGAAGUGAGGGACGAAAA